rnacentral:rRNA from 1 species
AACGAACGCUGGCGGCAGGCCUAACACAUGCAAGUCGAGCGGACCUUUCGGGGUCAGCGGCGGACGGGUGAGUAACGCGUGGGAAUAUGCCCUUCUCUACGGAAUAGUCCUGGGAAACUGGGGGUAAUACCGUAUACGCCCUUUGGGGGAAAGAUUUAUCGGGGAAGGAUUAGCCCGCGUUGGAUUAGGUAGUUGGUGGGGUAAUGGCCUACCAAGCCGACGAUCCAUAGCUGGUUUGAGAGGAUGAUCAGCCACACUGGGACUGAGGCACGGCCCAGACUCCUACGGGAGGCAGCAGUGGGGAAUCUUAGACAAUGGGGGCAACCCUGAUCUAGCCAUGCCGCGUGAGUGAUGAAGGCCUUAGGGUUGUAAAGCUCUUUCAGCUGGGAAGAUAAUGACGGUACCAGCAGAAGAAGCCCCGGCUAACUCCGUG